AGAGUUUGAUCCUGGCUCAGGACGAACGCUGGCGGUGUGCUUCACACAUGCAAGUCGAACGAGGUAGCAAUACCUAGUGGCGGACGGGUGAGUAACGCGUGGGAAUCUGCCUUUAGAUGGGGGAUAACGAGCCGAAAGGUUCGCUAAUACCGCAUACGCCGCAAGGUGAAAGGAGUAAUCCGUCUAAAGAUGAGCCCGCGUCCGAUUAGCUAGUUGGUGGGGUAAAGGCCUACCAAGGCGACGAUCGGUAGCUGGUCUGAGAGGAUGAUCAGCCACAAUGGGACUGAGACACGGCCCAUACUCCUACGGGAGGCAGCAGUGGGGAAUUUUACGCAAUGGGGGAAACCCUGACGUAGCGACACCGCGUGAGCGAAGAAGCCCCUUGGGGUGUAAAGCUCUGUCAGCUGGAACGAAACAAAUGACGGUACCAGCAGAGGAAGCAUCGGCUAACUACGUGCCAGCAGCCGCGGUAAGACGUAGGAUGCGAGCGUUGUCCGGAUUUAUUGGGCGUAAAGAGUUCGUAGGUGGUUUGUUAAGUUCGAUGUUAAAGAUCGAGGCUCAACCUCGGGAGUGCAUUGAAUACUGGCAGACUUGAGUGCGGUAGAGGCUAGUGGAAUUCCCAGUGUAGCGGUGAAAUGCGU
rnacentral:rRNA from 1 species